GGCACCGUGGCGUAGUGGUUAACGCAUCGGCGUACAUUGCCAAAGUCGAUGGUUCGAAUCCAGCUAGUACCC
rnacentral:tRNA from 1 species